rnacentral:rRNA from 1 species
UACGGAGGGUGCGAGCGUUGUCCGGAAUUACUGGGCGUAAAGCGUGCGUAGGUGGUUUGUUAAGUCAGGUGUGAAAUCCCUGGGCUCAACCUGGAAACUGCAUUUGAUACUGGCAAACUAGAGUGUGAUAGAGGGUAGUGGAAUUCCCGGUGUAGCGGUGAAAUGCGUAGAUAUCGGGAGGAACAUCAGUGGCGAAGGCGCUACCUGGAUCAACACUGACACUGGAAGGCACGGAAAGCGUGGGUAGCAAACACGG